rnacentral:rRNA from 1 species
AUCCUUCCGUAGGUGAACCUGCGGAAGGAUCAUUAAAGGAGUGCAUCACCGCCCGACCUCACCCUUUGUUGUUAAAACUACCUUGUUGCUUUGGCGGGACGUGGGGCGCGAGCCGCUGGGGAUUCGUCCCAGGCGAGCGCCCCCAGUUAAACCAAACUCUUGUUAUUUAACCGGUCGUCUGAGUUAAAAUUUUGAAUAAAUCAAAACUUUCAACAACGGAUCUCUUGGUUCUCGCAUCGAUGAAGAACGCAGCGAAAUGCGAUAAGUAAUGUGAAUUGCAGAAUUCAGUGAAUCAUCGAAUCUUUGAACGCACAUUGCGCCCCUUGGUAUUCCGAGGGGCAUGCCUGUUCGAGCGUCAUUACACCACUCAAGCUAUGCUUGGUAUUGGGCGUCGUCCUUAGUUGGGCGCGCCUUAAAGACCUCGGCGAGGCCACUCCGGCUUUAGGCGUAGUAGAAUUUAUUCGAACGUCUGUCAAAGGAGAGGAACUCUGCCGACUGAAACCUUUAUUUUUCUAGGUUGACCUCGGAUCAGGUAGGGAUACCCGCUGAACUUAAGCAUAUCAAUAAGCGGAGGAA